rnacentral:rRNA from 1 species
ACAGAGGUCACAAGCGUUAUCCGGAUUUAUUGGGCGUAAAGCGUUUCGUAGGUGAUUUGUUAAGUUGCUCUUCAAAGACCAAGGCUCAACCUCGGGAAGGGGAGUAAGACUGACAGAAUUGAAUUGUGGUGGGGUUUCUGGAACUGGUGGUGUAGUAGUGAAAUACGUUGAUAUCAUCAGGAACUCCAAGGGCGAAGGCAGGAAACUAACCAUAUAUUGACACUGAGGAACGACAGCUAGGGGAGCGAAAGGGAUUAGAGACCCCUGUAGUCCUAGCCGUAAACUAUGCUCGCUAGGGAUUGGCAUUUAUGCCUAGUCCCGUAAGCUAACGCGUUAAGCGAGCCGCCUGGGGAGUACGACCGCAAGGUUA